GUCUCUUCGAUGAUAUGAAGAGUCUGACCUGCCCACUGAAGUAUUAAAGGGCCGCGGUAUUUCUGACCGUGCGAAGGUAGCAUAAUCAUUAGUCUUUUAAUUGAAGGCUUGUAUGAAUGGUUGGACGAGAGAAAUGCUGUCUCAAUUAAAAACACGAAAUUAACUUUUAAGUGAAAAGGCUUAAAUAAUUUGAGAAGACGAUAAGACCCUAUAAAUCUUAAUAUUACUCGAAUUAAUUUCUUAACUUAUCUUUAAACAAGAACAUUAAUUUACUAAUAUUGUGUUGGGGCGACAAAAAUAUAAAAAAAAUAUCUGUUUUAACGUAAACUCAAUUAUUUUUGAUUUCAAAGAUCCUUCAUCAAGAUUACAAGAUUAAGUUACUUUAGGGAUAACAGCGUUAUUUUCUUUGAGAGUUCAUAUCGAAAAGAAAGUUUGCGACCUCGAUGUUGAAUUAAAAUUUCUUUAUGGUGCAGCCGCUAUAAAAGAAAGUCUGUUCGACUUUUAAAUUUUU
rnacentral:rRNA from 1 species